rnacentral:rRNA from 1 species
UACGAAGGGGGGUUAGCGUUGUUCGGAAUUACUGGGCGUAAAGCGCACGUAGGCGGACAUUUAAGUCAGGGGUGAAAUCCCGGGGCUCAACCCCGGAACGGCCUUUGAUACUGGGUGUCUUGAGUUCGGAAGAGGUGAGUGGAAUUGCGAGUGUAGAGGUGAAAUUCGUAGAUAUUCGCAGGAACACCAGUGGCGAAGGCGGCUCACUGGUCCGAUACUGACGCUGAGGUGCGAAAGCGUGGGGAGCAAACAGG